CAGUCGCCGCGGUAAUACGUAGGGUGCAAGCGUUAAUCGGAAUUACUGGGCGUAAAGCGUGCGCAGGCGGUUCGUUAGGACAGAUGUGAAAUCCCCGGGCUUAACCUGGGAACUGCAUUUGUGACUGGCGAGCUAGAGUAUGGCAGAGGGGGGUAGAAUUCCACGUGUAGCAGUGAAAUGCGUAGAGAUGUGGAGGAAUACCGAUGGCGAAGGCAUCCCCCUGGGCCAAUACUGACGCUCAUGCACGAAAGCGUGGGGAGCAGACAGGAUUAGAUACCCCGGUAGUCCCUGUCUCUUAUAC
rnacentral:rRNA from 1 species